CCUACGGGGGGCAGCAGUAGGGAAUCUUCCACAAUGGGCGAAAGCCUGAUGGAGCAACGCCGCGUGGGUGAUGAAGGUCUUCGGAUCGUAAAACCCUGUUGUUAGAGAAGAAAGUGCGUGAGAGUAACUGUUCACGUUUCGACGGUAUCUAACCAGAAAGCCACGGCUAACUACGUGCCAGCCGCCGCGGUAAUACGUAGGGGGCAAGCGUUAGCCGGAUUGAUUGGGCGUAAAGGGAACGCAGGCGGUCUUUUAAGUCUGAUGUGAAAGCCUUCGGCUUAACCGGAGUAUUGCAUUGGAAACUGGGAGACUUGAGUGCAGAAGAGGAGGGUGGAACUCCAUGUGUAGCGGUGAAAUGCGUAGAUAUAUGGAAGAACACCAGUGGCGAAAGCGGCUCUCUGGUCUGUAACUGACGCUGAGGUUCGAAAGCGUGGGUAGCAAACAGGAUUAGAUACCCCAGUAGUC
rnacentral:rRNA from 1 species